UACGGGGGGGGCGAGCGUUGUUCGGAAUUACUGGGCGUAAAGUGUGCGCAGGCGGCCGCGCAAGUCGAGUGUGAAAGCCCCGAGCUUAACUUGGGAACUGCGCUCGAAACUACGUGGCUGGAGUGUGGCAGAGGAAGGUGGAAUUCCACGUGUAGCGGUGAAAUGCGUAGAGAUGUGGAGGAACACCGAUGGCGAAGGCAGCCUUCUGGGCCAACACUGACGCUCAUGCACGAAAGCGUGGGGAGCAAACAGGA
rnacentral:rRNA from 1 species